CACGUAGGAGGCGAGCGUUUGUCCGGAAUUAUUGGGCGUAAAGAGCUCGUAGGCGGCUUGUCACGUCGGGGUGUGAAAGCCCCGGGGCUUAACCCCGGGUCUGCAUUCGAUACGGGCUAGCUAGAGUGUGGUAGGGGAGAUCGGAAUUCCUGGUGUAGCGGUGAAAUGCGCAGAUAUCAGGAGGAACACCGGUGGCGAAGGCGGAUCUCUGGGCCAUUACUGACGCUGAGGAGCGAAAGCGUGGGGAGCGAACAGG
rnacentral:rRNA from 1 species